rnacentral:rRNA from 1 species
UGGGGAAUAUUGGACAAUGGGCGAAAGCCUGAUCCAGCCAUGCCGCGUGUGUGAAGAAGGUCUUCGGAUUGUAAAGCACUUUAAGUUGGGUGGAAGGGCAGUAAGCGAAUACCUUGCUGUUUUGACGUUACCGACAGAAUAAGCACCGGCUAACUCUGUGCCAGCAGCCGCGGUAAUACAGAGGGUGCAAGCGUUAAUCGGAAUUACUGGGCGUAAAGCGCGCGUAGGUGGUUCGUUAAGUUGAAUGUGAAAGCCCCGGGCUCAACCUGGGAAGUGCAUCCAAAACUGGCGAGCUACACUAGGGCAGAAGGUGGUAGAAUUUCCUGUGUACCGGUGAAAUGCGUAGAUAUAGGAAGGUACACCAGAGGCGAAAGCGACCACCUGGGCUCAUACUGACACUGAGGUGCGAAAGCGUGAGGAGCAAACAGG